UACGGAGGAUGCAAGCGUUAUCCGGAUUUAUUGGGUUUAAAGGGUGCGCAGGUUGUUUGAUAAGUCAGUGGUGAAAGUCUGUCGCUUAACGGUAGGAUUGCCAUUGAUACUGUUAGACUUGAAUAUGGAUGAGGUAGGCGGAAUGUGUAGUGUAGCGGUGAAAUGCAUAGAUAUUACACAGAACACCGAUUGCGAAGGAAGCUUACUAAUCCAUCAUUGACGCUGAGGCACGAAAGCGUGGGGAUCAAACAGGAUUA
rnacentral:rRNA from 1 species